rnacentral:rRNA from 1 species
GUCCUUCAGUUCGGCUGGCUCCCACACAGGUGCUGCAUGGCUGUCGUCAGCUCGUGUCGUGAGAUGUUGGGUUAAGUCCCGCAACGAGCGCAACCCUCGUCUUCAGUUGCCAUCAGGUAGGGCUGGGCACUCUGAAGAAACUGCCGGUGACAAGCCGGAGGAAGGUGGGGAUGACGUCAAGUCCUCAUGGCCCUUACGGGCUGGGCUACACACGUGCUACAAUGGCGGUGACAGUGGGGCGCGAUCCCGCGAGGGUGAGCGAAUCUCAAAAAGCCGUCUCAGUUCGGAUUGCACUCUGCAACUCGAGUGCAUGAAGUCGGAAUCGCUAGUAAUCGCGGAUCAGCACGCCGCGGUGAAUACGUUCCCGGGCCUUGUAC